rnacentral:rRNA from 1 species
AAAGAAGACCCUGUUGAGCUUGACUCUAGUCUGACUUUGUGAAGAGACAUGAGAGGUGUAGCAUAAGUGGGAGUUUUGGGAUCCCUCUUGAUUGCAGUUUCGGCUGUAGUUGAGAGCCCUUAACGAUCAUGAAAUACCACUACUCUCAUCGUUUCUUUACUUACACGGUGAAAAGGAAAUUGGGAUAGUGUCUCUCUCUUCUGGGCUUCGGUUCAGUAGCAGGAGGCCACCUAUCUCUAAAUUCUAGAGCAAAAUGUGGUUCCAUCCAUACACGCUCAAGACACCUAAUUGCACCUUGUUUCUCGGAACUUGGUAUGAUUAAAGACUUGGGUUUGGUUGGUAACCAAUGUGCAUCAGCAAUGAUGUUACAUAACCAUAUGAUCCUAGCCGUGGACAUUGUCAGGCGGGCAGUUUGACUGGGGCGGUACAUCUGUCAAAAGGUAACGCAGGUGUCCUAAGGCCAGCUCAGUGAGGCCAGAAACCUCACGUAGAGCAAAAGGGCAAAAGCUGGCUUGAUCCAGACUUUCAGUACGAAUACGGACCGCGAAAGCGGGGCCUAUCGAUCCUUUCGAUGAAUGAGAGUUUCAUCCGAGAGGUGUCAGAAAAGUUACCACAGGGAUAACUGGCUUGUGGCAGCCAAGCGUUCAUAGCGACGUUGCUUUUUGAUCCUUCGAUGUCG